rnacentral:misc_RNA from 1 species
AAGUCGUAACAAGGUUUCCGUAGGUGAACCUGCGGAAGGAUCAUUACCAAAUCCAAAUCCCAACCCCAUGUGAACCUGUUUUUGUCUGUCUUUGGGGGUGUGGCACUGUGGACAGUGUAAAGCUUCCCUUUUGCUGCCCCCAAAUGAAUCCGGCACUCCGGUGCUUGGGUUCAACUGACUAAACUACUUUUAAACUUUGUUGGAAUACUUGUAUUAAAAACUAAUAUAAGACAACUCUUAACGGUGGAUCUCUUGGCUCGU